rnacentral:rRNA from 1 species
UACGUAGGGGGCUAGCGUUGUCCGGAAUCAUUGGGCGUAAAGAGCGUGUAGGCGGCCCGGUAAGUCCGCUGUGAAAGUCGGGGGCUCAACCCUCGAAUGCCGGUGGAUACUGUCGGGCUAGAGUGCGGAAGAGGCGAGAGGAAUUCCUGGUGUAGCGGUGAAAUGCGCAGAUAUCAGGAGGAACACCGAUUGCGAAGGCAGCUCGCUGGGACGUUACUGACGCUGAGACGCGAAAGCGUGGGGAGCAAACAGG